rnacentral:rRNA from 1 species
GACGGACGCUGGCGGCGUGCUUAACACAUGCAAGUCGAGCGGUAAGGCCCUUUCGGGGGUACACGAGCGGCGAACGGGUGAGUAACACGUGGGUGACCUGCCCUCAGCUCUGGGAUAAGCCUGGGAAACCGGGUCUAAUACCGGAUAUGACUCCAUGACGCAUGUUGUGGGGUGGAAAGCCUUGUGCGGCUGAGGAUGGGCCCGCGGCCUAUCAGCUUGUUGGUGGGGUGAUGGCCUACCAAGGCGACGACGGGUAGCCGGCCUGAGAGGGCGACCGGCCACACUGGGACUGAGACACGGCCCAGACUCCUACGGGAGGCAGCAGUGGGGAAUCUUGCGCAAUGGGCGAAAGCCUGACGCAGCGACGCCGCGUGAGGGAUGACGGCCU